rnacentral:scRNA from 1 species
UACUGUUUUUAACUCUUACAGUGCUCGUCUCG